GACGAACCGUGCAAACGUUAUUCGGAUUCACUGGGCUUAAAGGGCGCGUAGGCGGGUGAUCAAGUCAGGGGUGAAAUCCUCCAGCUUAACUGGAGCAGUGCCUUUGAUACUGGUCGUCUUGAGGGAGGUAGGGGCAUGUGGAACUUCCGGUGGAGCGGUGAAAUGCGUAGAUAUCGGAAGGAACGCCGGUGGCGAAAGCGACGUGCUGGAUCUCUUCUGACGCUGAGGCGCGAAAGCCAGGGUAGCGAACGGG
rnacentral:rRNA from 1 species